CGAAGCUGGCGGCGUGCCUAGCACAUGCAAGUCGAGCGAGUGGAGUCUUCGGAACAAAGCUAGCGGCGGACGGGUGAGUAACACGUGGGCAACCUGCCUCAUAGAGGGGAAUAGCCUUCCGAAAGGGAGAUUAAUACCGCAUAAGAUUGUAGCUUCGCAUGAAGUAGCAAUUAAAGGAGCAAUCCGCUAUGAGAUGGGCCCGCGGCGCAUUAGCUAGUUGGUGAGGUAACGGCUCACCAAGGCGACGAUGCGUAGCCGACCUGAGAGGGUGAUCGGCCACAUUGGGACUGAGACACGGCCCAGACUCCUACGGGAGGCAGCAGUGGGGAAUAUUGCACAAUGGGGGAAACCCUGAUGCAGCAACGCCGCGUGAGUGAUGACGGCCUUCGGGUUGUAAAGCCCUGUCUUCAGGGACGAUAAUGACGGUACCUGAGGAGGAAGCCACGGCUAACUACGUG
rnacentral:rRNA from 1 species